UGGGUAUAACAGUCUUGGCUGG
rnacentral:miRNA from 1 species